CUGGCUCAGAACGAACGCUGGCGGCGGGCCUAACACAUGCAAGUCGAGCGAGAAAGCACCUUCGGGUGUUAGUAAAGCGGCGCACGGGUGAGUAACACGUGGGUAAUCUACCCUCAGGUCUGGAACAACUCGGGGAAACUCAAGCUAAUUCCGGAUAAGACCACAGUACGAGAGUACCGUGGGAAAAGCGGAGGACCUCUUCGGAGGCUUCGCGCCAGAGGAUGGGCCCGCGGCCCAUCAGCUUGUUGGUAAGGUAACGGCUUACCAAGGCUAAGACGGGUAGCUGGUCUGAGAGGAUGACCAGUCACACUGGAACUGAGACACGGUCCAGACUCCUACGGGAGGCAGCAGUGGGGAAUAUUGCGCAAUGGGCGAAAGCCUGACGCAGCCACGCCGUGUGUGUGAUGAAGGCCUUCGGGUCGUAAAGCACUGUCAGGAGGAGAGAUGGCUUCGGUAGUUAAUAACUGCCGGAGUUGACGGUACCUCCAAAGGAAGCACCGGCUAACUCUGUGCCAGCAGCCGCGGUAAGACAGAGGGUGCAAGCGUUGUUCGGAAUCAUUGGGCGUAAAGCGCACGUAGGCGGUUUGUAAGUCGGGUGUGAAAGCCCAGGGCUCAACCCUGGAAGUGCAUCCGAAACUGCAUGACUUGAGUCCCGGAGAG
rnacentral:rRNA from 2 species